UCGCGAUUCGAGGGCGAUGACGCUCGUUCUGCAACAUGGGCGCUUGGAACGAGCCGAGCCAGUAGCGCAACCGAUCGGUCGACG
rnacentral:ncRNA from 10 species